GAUGGUUGGUCAAAUAAUAAAAAUGUUGUAUUUUCUGGUACAUCAUUAUGGAUUGGACUAGUCUUUCUCGUAGCUAUUCUGAAUUCUCUCAUUUCUUAA
rnacentral:rRNA from 1 species